AUAGGCUGUUGCUGACAAGGGCAGCACACAGGAAUUAAGAUCAAACGUGGUUUCUGUUCUUGUCCAGUUUAAUGUCGGACAUGUCCCUUAUCUGGGGACCACACAUUACAUUGAGUUUUGGAACAGGCAAAUGGAAUAAGGGCUUGCUCGGGGCUCUUGUGUUGCAGCGGUUGUGUCCCUAG